CGGUAGCAGGAAGUGCUUGCACUUUGCUGACGAGUGGCGGACGGGUGAGUAAUACUUAGGAACAUGCCUUUGUGUGGGGGAUAACCAUUGGAAACGAUGGCUAAUACCGCAUAAUGUCUUUGGACCAAAGAGGGCUUUCGGGCUCUCGCGCAAAGAGUGGCCUAAGUGAGAUUAGCUUGUUGGUGAGGUAAAGGCUCACCAAGGCGACGAUCUCUAGCUGUUCUGAGAGGAAGAUCAGCCACACUGGGACUGAGACACGGCCCAGACUCCUACGGGAGGCAGCAGUGGGGAAUAUUGCACAAUGGGGGCAACCCUGAUGCAGCCAUGCCGCGUGUGUGAAGAAGGCCUUCGGGUUGUAAAGCACUUUCAGUUGUGAGGAAAGGUUGAUGGUUAAUACCCAUCAGCUGUGACGUUAGCAACAGAAGAAGCACCGGCUAACUCCGUGCCAGCAGCCGCGGUAAUACGGAGGGUGCGAGCGUUAAUCGGAAUUACUGGGCGUAAAGCGCACGCAGGCGGUUAUAUAAGCUAGAUGUGAAAGCCCCGGGCUCAACCUGGGAAUUGCAUUUAGAACUGGCAGGCUAGAGUUUUGGAGAGGGGAGUGGAAUUCCAGGUGUAGCG
rnacentral:rRNA from 1 species